rnacentral:rRNA from 1 species
AGAACGAACGCUGGCGGCAGGCUUAACACAUGCAAGUCGAACGGUUGUAGCAAUACAGCAGUGGCAGACGGGUGAGUAACACGUGGGAACGUGCCCUUUGGUACGGAACAACUCCGGGAAACUGGAGCUAAAUACCGUAUGUGCCCUUCGGGGGAAAGAUUUAUCGCCAAAGGAUCGGCCCGCGUCUGAUUAGCUAGUUGGUAGGGUAACGGCCUACCAAGGCUACGAUCAGUAGCUGGUCUGAGAGGAUGAUCAGCCACAUUGGGACUGAGACACGGCCCAAACUCCUACGGGAGGCAGCAGUGGGGAAUAUUGGACAAUGGGCGCAAGCCUGAUCCAGCCAUGCCGCGUGAGUGAUGAAGGCCUUAGGGUUGUAAAGCUCUUUCGGCGGGGACGAUAAUGACGGUACCCGCAGAAGAAGCCCGGCUAACUUCGCGCCAGCAGCCGC